rnacentral:rRNA from 1 species
ACUGCUCAGUAACACGUGGAUAACCUGCCCUGCGGUGGGAAAUAACCCCGGGAAACUGGGGAUAAUGUCCCAUAGACUACGGAUACUGGAAUGUUCUGUAGUUCAAAGAUUUAUCGCCACAGGAUGGGUCUGCGGCCGAUUAGGUAGUUGUUGGGGUAACGGCCCAACAAGCCUUUGAUCGGUACGGGUUGUGGGAGCAAGAGCCCGGAGAUGGAUUCUGAGACACGAAUCCAGGCCCUACGGGGCGCAGCAGGCGCGAAAACUUUACAAUGCGGGAAACCGUGAUAAGGGAACUCCGAGUGUCCGUAAAUGCGGACUGUCCGUAUGUUUAAAAAGCAUGCGAAGAAAGGGCCGGGCAAGACCGGUGCCAGCCGCCGCGGUAAUACCGGCGGCUCGAGUGGUGGCCACUAUUACUGGGCUUAAAGCGUUCGUAGCUGGGUUGUUAAGUCUCUUGGGAAAUCUAUCGGCUUAACCGAUAGGCGUCCAAGGGAUACUGGCAAUCUAGGGACCGGGAGAGGUGAGGGGUACUUCAGGGGUAGGAGUGAAAUCCUGUAAUCCUUGGGGGACCACCUGUGGCGUAGGCGCCUCACCAGAACGGCUCCGACAGUGAGGGACGAAAGCUGGGGGAGCAAACCGGAUUAGAUACCCGGGUAGUCCCAGCCGUAAACGAUGCGCGUUAGGUGUAUCGAUGACCACGAGUCAUCGAGGUGCCGAAGGGAAACCGUGAAACGCGCCGCCUGGGAAGUACGGUCGCAAGGCUGAAACUUAAAGGAAUUGGCGGGGGAGCAC